rnacentral:tRNA from 1 species
GCGGCCGUGAUGUAGCCUGGCAGCAUAGGAGACUGUGGAUCUUCUCGGGUGAGUUCAAAAUAUCUUCGAACGCAGUGAGAAAAUCUCACCGGUCGCC